UCUGGCCCCUCGGGUCCGAGUUGUAAUUUGUAGAGGAUGCUUUUGGUGAGGUGCCGCCCGAGUUCCCUGGAACGGGACGCCACAGAGGGUGAGAGCCCCGUCUGGCUGGCCGCCGAGCCUCUGUAAAGCUCCUUCGACGAGUCGAGUAGUUUGGGAAUGCUGCUCAAAAUGGGAGGUAUAUGUCUUCUAAAGCUAAAUAUUGGCCAGAGACCGAUAGCGCACAAGUAGAGUGAUCGAAAGAUGAAAAGCACCUUGAAAAGAGGGUUAAAUAGUACGUGAAAUUGUUGAAAGGGAAGCGCUUGUGACCAGACUUGGGCGCGGCGGAUCAUCCGGGGUUCUCUCCGGUGCACUUCGCCGCGUCUAGGCCAGCAUCAGUUCGCCGCGGGGGAAAAAGGCUUCGGGAACGUGGCUCCCCCGGGAGUGUUAUAGCCCGUUGCACAAUACCCUGCGGUGGACUGAGGACCGCGCAUCUGCAAGGAUGCUGGCGUAAUGGUCACCAGCGACCCGUCUUGAAACACGG
rnacentral:rRNA from 1 species